rnacentral:lncRNA from 15 species
CGCUGCUUUAACAACCUCUGUUCCCAUUAAAAUGCCUCCUGUCGGAGGGGGUGAUACAGAAAUGAUUUCUGUUGGUUUGAUAAAUAUUUUUUUUUACCAAAGAAUAUGAGUAACUCUCAGCAAUUGUAGAUAUGAUUACAAUUUCUUUGUAUUACAUAUACUAAACUCACAUCAGAUGACUCAGAAUGUUUUUAGUUAGUUGUUAAACAUGGUGUGUGUUUACUUUUUAUCAUUGUAGGUUGUAGGUAUCAUUGUGUUGUUUCAAAUCAAAGAACUGUCAUAAAGUGUACUGAUCAAGUGUAGAAAAGCACAUCUUGUUUAUUGACUUUAUAUUAAUGUGUUUGUAGGUCAAGCACCACAGAUGAGUCUACAGCAUAUUCAUGGUGAACACGUUCACUUUGUUUGCUCUCUGCCUGGAUCUACUAAUAAUGAUACGAGAUGUAACCUGUACUUUGGAGAAGAAAGUGAUCCAGUUGUAACAACAACCAUCUGGAAGAAGAGAAGCUCAACCAAUCGGUGGUUUUGCCAGUUUAGUGUCCCAAUUGAUGAUUUGCUGAAACGUCUAUGUUUAGUUAAACAGAGUGAUGCCAGCUGUGAUUACAAUUUGGGAAGUGAACCCAACUCUUUGUCUCCUCGCAGUGAUCGAUACAACUUGACUGAUAUUGUGGAAAGAAAGUCAAGUAUGACCCAGAGAAUGCCAACAUUUACUGUGACCACAGAGAAGAUAAUAUUGAUUAUUGGAGCAGUUGUGACUGUGGAUGCUGUCUUACUUGGAUUGGCACUUCUCUUUAUUCAAAGCAGGACUGAAAACUGCCUUUCAAAUAGACCAAAAGCAAACUUCACUGAUGACAGGGAAUAUAUGGGUGAUUAUGAUGAAACAUACAGUACCGUCUUCUAUGAAUGCAACACUGCGCCACAGGUGGCCGUCAGGAGGUGGGCCAGUAUAAAAGCCACCACCCUUCCUGGCUAUUCCUUUUGCGCCUCUGUCGUCACUGGUGUCACUUCCGGGUCAUAGGUCGUUGACCCGACAGUUGCUGGAGACUGGUGGUGGUGUCCCCUUCUGUCUGCUGUGUCCGGGGAAGCGGUUUCACUUCACUGAGUGUCACGUAUGUCGGGUGUUUUUGAGUUGAUUUCUCAUUUUGGGUGAAUCCCUCCCCCCUGCACUAAGCCCCUGUCCAUACACUCAGCUCCAGCCCCCUCCCCUUUGGUUGGAUUCCCCUGUUUGAUCUUCGUUUGUAUGAAUGAAAUUGGAACUCUUUUUAACUACUUUAUUCAAUAAUAAAAGUAUAUUCUAUAAUUACCUGCACCACGUCUCAUGCCUUACUGAGUAAACUUACCUGUGUCCU